UGCAAGUCGAGGGGUAGCAGGGAGCUUGCUCCGCUGACGACCGGCGAACGGGUGCGUAACGCGUAUAGAAUCUACCUCUUACUAAGGGAUAGCCCAGAGAAAUUUGGAUUAAUAUCUUAUAGUAUGUUAACUUGGCAUCAAGAUAACAUUAAAGGUUACGGUAAGAGAUGACUAUGCGUCCUAUUAGCUAGAUGGUGUGGUAACGGCACACCAUGGCAACGAUAGGUAGGGGCCCUGAGAGGGGGAUCCCCCACACUGGUACUGAGACACGGACCAGACUCCUACGGGAGGCAGCAGUGAGGAAUAUUGGACAAUGGAGGCAACUCUGAUCCAGCCAUGCCGCGUGCAGGAAGACUGCCCUAUGGGUUGUAAACUGCUUUUAUACAGGAAGAAACACUCUCACGUGUGAGAGCUUGACGGUACUGUAAGAAUAAGGAUCGGCUAACUCCGUGCCAGCAGCCGCGGUAAUACGGAGGAUCCAAGCGUUAUCCGGAAUCAUUGGGUUUAAAGGGUCCGUAGGUGGAUAAUUAAGUCAGAGGUGAAAUCCUGCAGCUCAACUGUAGAAUUGCCUUUGAUACUGGUUAUCUUGAGUUAUUAUGAAGUAGUUAGAAUAUGUAGUGUAGCGGUGAAAUGCAUAGAUAUUACAUAGAAUACCAAUUGCGAAGGCAGAUUACUAAUAAUAUACUGACACUGAUGGACGAAAGCGUGGGGAGCGAACAGGAUUAGAUACCCUGGUAGUCCACGCCGUAAACGAUGGUCACUAGCUGUUCGAACUUCGGUUUGAGUGGCUAAGCGAAAGUGAUAAGUGACCCACCUGGGGAGUACGUUCGCAGAAUGAAACUC
rnacentral:rRNA from 1 species